AACAGGAUUAGAUACCCUGGUAGUCCACGCCGUAAACGAUGAUCACUCGCUGUAUGCGAUACACAGUAUGCGGCCAAGCGAAAGCAUUAAGUGAUCCACCUGGGGAGUACGAUCGCAAGGUUGAAACUCAAAGGAAUUGACGGGGGCCCGCACAAGCGGAGGAACAUGUGGUUUAAUUCGAUGAUACGCGAGGAACCUUACCUGGGCUUAAAUGUAGAGCGACAGCUUGUGAAAGCAGGCUUUCUUCGGACGAUCUACAAGGUGCUGCAUGGUUGUCGUCAGCUCGUGCCGUGAGGUGUCGGGUUAAGUCCCAUAACGAGCGCAACCCUUAUCGUUAGUUGCCAGCGGGUCAAGCCGGGGACUCUAGCGAGACUGCCACCGUAAGGUGUGAGGAAGGUGGGGAUGACGUCAAAUCAGCACGGCCCUUAUGUCCAGGGCUACACACGUGUUACAAUGGCAAGUACAAAGGGCAGCUACCCCGUGAGGGGAUGCUAAUCUCUAAAGCUUGUCUCAGUUCGGAUCGAAGUCUGCAACCCGACUUCGUGAAGCUGGAUUCGCUAGUAAUCGCGCAUCAGCCAUGGCGCGGUGAAUACGUUCCCGGGCCUUGUACACACCGCCCGUCAAACAAUGGAAGCUGGGGGUACCUGAAGUCUGUAACCGCGAGGAGCGGCCUAGGGUAAAACUAGUAACUGGUGUUAAGUCGUAACAAGGUACC
rnacentral:rRNA from 1 species